rnacentral:rRNA from 1 species
AGGGGGCUUCACCGCCUACCAAACCCUGACAAACUCCGAAUGCUGAUGACAUAUACUCGGGAGUGAGCCGCAGGGUGCUAAGGUCCUGUGGCGAGAGGGAAAGAACCCAGACCAACAGCUAAGGUCCCAAAAUCACAGUUAAGUUGAACUAACGAGGUCCAAUUGCAUAGACAGCUAGGAUGUUUGCUUGGAAGCAGCAAUUCAUUUAAAGAGUGCGUAACAGCUCACUAGUCGAGCGAUAGGGCGUGGAUAAUAAACGGGCAUAAAACUGUGUACCGAAGCUUUGGAUUCCUUUAAAGGAGUGGUAGGGGAGCAUUCUGCAUGCGGCGAAGGACAAGGCGUGAGCCACUCUGGAGCGUGUAGAAAAGCAAAUGUAGGCAUGAGUAACGAUAAGACAGGCGAGAAACCUGUCCACCGCAAGACUAAGGUUUCCUGGACGAUGCUAAUCAGGCCAGGGUUAGUCGGGACCUAAGGAUAAUCCGAAGGGAGAGAUCUGAUGGACAACGGGUUAAUAAUCCCGUACCGCAUCAACUGCGAAGGAGGGACGAAGGAGUGAAAGCUACGCGAACUGACGGAAUAGUUCGUUUAAGUGCAAAGGUAUAGGCUGGGGAGGCAAAUCCCCCCGGACUGCUGAAGCAUGAAAGUACCGCGAGUCUACGGACGAGUGGAUAGUUAGCCUAAUCAGACUUCCAAGAAAAACUUCUAAGCUUCAGGUUGAUGUGCCCGUACCGCAAACCGACACAGGUAGUCGAGGAGAGUAUCCUAAGGCGCUCGAGUGAUCCACGGUUAAGGAACUAGGCAAAUUAGCCCCGUAACUUCGGGAGAAGGGGCCCCCCGGGCGACUGGGGGCGCAGAGAAAUGGCCCAGGCGACUGUUUAACAAAAACACAGGACUCUGCAAAAUCGAGAGAUGAAGUAUAGGGUCUGACACCUGCCCAGUCACGAUAGGUUAGGAAGUUGGUUAGGGAAACCGAAGCUAGCGACCGAAGCCCCGGUGAACGGCGGCCGUAACUAUAACGGUCCUAAGGUAGCGAAAUUCCUUGUCGGGUAAGUUCCGACCCGCACGAAAGGCGUAACGAUCUGGAUGGUGUCUCAGAGAGAGACUCGGCGAAAUAGGAAUGUCUGUGAAGAUACGGACUACCUGCACCUGGACAGAAAGACCCUAUGAAGCUUUACUGUAGCCUGGAAUUGUGUUCGGGCUUGGCUUGCGCAGGAUAGGUGGGAAGCGGAGAACUUCUCCUUGAGGGGGGAAGGGAGCUAACGGUGAGAUACCACUCUGGCGAAGCUAGAAUUCUAACUCAUCACCGUAAGCCGGUGAGAGGAAAGUUUCAGGUGGGCAGUUUGACUGGGGCGGUCGCCUCCUAAAAGGUAACGGAGGCGCGCAAAGGUUCUCUCAGCACGCUUGGAAACCGUGCGACGAGUGUAAAGGCAAAAAGAGAGCUUGACUGCAAGACCAACAAGUCGAGCAGGGACGAAAGUCGGCCUUAGUGAUCCGACGGCGCAGCAUGGAAUGGCCGUCGCUCAACGGAUAAAAGUUACUCUAGGGAUAACAGGCUGAUCUCCCCCAAGAGUCCACAUCGACGGGGAGGUUUGGCACCUCGAUGUCGGCUCAUCGCAACCUGGGGCGGAAGUACGUCCCAAGGGUUGGGCUGUUCGCCCAUUAAAGCGGUACGUGAGCUGGGUUCAGAACGUCGUGAGACAGUUCGGUCCAUAUCCGGUGCAGGCGAAAGAACAUUGAGAGGAGUCCUCCUUAGUACGAGAGGACCGGGAGGAACGAACCGCUGGUGUACCAGUUAUUCCGCCAGGAGUAGACGCUGGGUAGCCAAGUUCGGAGAGGAUAACCGCUGAAAGCAUCUAAGUGGGAAGCCCACCUUAAGAUGAGUGUUCUCACUACGAGAGUAGGUAAGGUCACGGGGAGAACACCCGUUGAUAGGCUUUAUGUGGAAGUACAGUAAUGUAUGUAGCAGAGAAGUCCUAACAGACCGAGGGCUUGACCU